AUUGAACGCUGGCGGCAUGCUUUACACAUGCAAGUCGAACGGUAACAGGCCUUCGGGUGCUGACGAGUGGCGAACGGGUGAGUAAUGCAUCGGAACGUGCCCAGAGGUGGGGGAUAACGCAGCGAAAGCUGUGCUAAUACCGCAUGUGAUCUGAGGAUGAAAGCGGGGGACCAGGCAGCAAUGUUUGGCCUCGCGCCUUUGGAGCGGCCGAUGUUAGAUUUGGUGGUUGGUGGGGUAAAGGCCUACCAAGCCGGCGAUCUGUAGCUGGUCUGAGAGGACGACCGGCCACACUAGAAGUGGGACACGGCCCAGACUCCUACGGGAGGCAGCAGUGGGGAAUUUUGGGCAGUGGGCGCAAGCCUGAUCCAGCAAUGCCGCGUGCGGGAAGAAGGCCUUCGGGUUGUAAACCGCUUUUGUACGGAACGAAAAGGCUCUGGCUAAUACCUGGGGCUGAUGACGGUACCGGAAGAAUAAGCACCGGCUAACUACGUG
rnacentral:rRNA from 1 species